rnacentral:rRNA from 1 species
UACGAAGGGGGCUAGCGUUGUUCGGAAUUACUGGGCGUAAAGCGCACGCAGGCGGCUCGAUAAGUUAGAAGUGAAAGCCCCGGGCUUAACCUGGGAAUUGCUUUUAAGACUGUCGGGCUAGAAUCCAGAAGAGGGUAGUGGAAUUCCGAGUGUAGAGGUGAAAUUCGUAGAUAUUCGGAAGAACACCAGUGGCGAAGGCGACUCACUGGCCCGAUACUGACGCUGAGGCGCGAAAGCGUGGGGAGCAAACAGG